CCUACGGGUGGCAGCAGUGAGGAAUAUUGGUCAAUGGGCGCGAGCCUGAACCAGCCAAGUAGCGUGAAGGAUGACUGCCCUACGGGUUGUAAACUUCUUUUAUAAAGGAAUAAAGUGAGGCACGUGUGCCUUUUUGUAUGUACUUUAUGAAUAAGGAUCGGCUAACUCCGUGCCAGCAGCCGCGGUAAUAUGGAGGAUCCGAGCGUUAUCCGGAUUUAUUGGGUUUGAAGGGAGCGUGGAUGGGUUGUUAAGUCGGUUGUGAAAGGUUGCGGCUCCACCGUAAAAUUGCAAUUGAUACUGGCAGCCGUGAGUACAGUUGAGGUAGGCGGAAUUCGUGGUGUAGCGGUGAAAUGCUUAGAUAUCACGAAGAACGGCGAUUGGGAAGGCAGGUUACUAAACUGCCACUGAGAUGGAUGGUCGAAAGUGUGGGUAUCAAACAGGAUUAGAGACCGUAGUAGUC
rnacentral:rRNA from 1 species